rnacentral:rRNA from 1 species
GAUGAACGCUGGCGGCGUGCUUAACACAUGCAAGUCGAACGGAAAGGCUCCUGCUUGCUGGGGUACUCGAGUGGCGAACGGGUGAGUAACACGUGGGUGAUCUGCCCUGCACUUCGGGAUAAGCCUGGGAAACUGGGUCUAAUACCGGAUAGGACGAUGGUUUGGAUGCCAUUGUGGAAAGUUUUGUCGGUGUGGGAUGAGCUCGCGGCCUAUCAGCUUGUUGGUGGGGUAAUGGCCUACGAAGGCGUCGACGGGUAGCCGGCAUGGGAGGGUGUACGGCCACAUUGGGACUGAGAUACGGACCAGACUCCUACGGGGGGCAGCAGUGGGGAAUAUUGCACAAUGGGCGCAAGCCUGAUGCGGAGACGCCGGGUGGGGGAUGACGGCCUUCGGGUUGUAAACUCCUUUCGCUAGGGACGAAGCGCAAGUGACGGUACCUGGAGAAGAAGCACCGGCUAACUACGUG